UACAGAGGGGGCAAGCGUUAUUCGGAAUUAUUGGGCGUAAAGGGCGCGUAGGCGGCUUUGCAAGUGAGGGGUGAAAUCCCUCGGCUUAACCGAGGAACUGCCUGUGAGACUGCAUUGCUUGAGUCCGGGAGAGGUGAGUGGAAUUCCCAGUGUAGCGGUGAAAUGUGUAGAUAUUGGGAGGAACACCAGUGGCGAAGGCGGCUCACUGGACCGGAACUGACGCUGAUGCGCGAAAGCGUGGGGAGCAAACGGG
rnacentral:rRNA from 1 species